CCUAUUCUCGAUUACUUGGGAC
rnacentral:miRNA from 1 species